rnacentral:rRNA from 1 species
UACAGAGGUCUCAAGCGUUGUUCGGAUUUAUUGGGCGUAAAGAGCUCGUAGGCGGUUUGUCGCGUCGGCUGUGAAAACCUGGGGCUCAACCCCGGGCCUGCAGCCGAUACGGGCAAACUAGAGUUCGGCAGGGGAGACUGGAAUUCCUGGUGUAGCGGUGAAAUGCGCAGAUAUCAGGAGGAACACCGGUGGCGAAGGCGGGUCUCUGGGCCGAUACUGACGCUGAGGAGCGAAAGCGUGGGGAGCAAACAGG